CUACGGGUUGCAGCAGUGGGGAAUAUUGCACAAUGGGCGAAAGCCUGAUGCAGCAACGCCGCGUGGGUGAUGAAGGCUUUCGGGUCGUAAAGCCCUGUCAGAGGGGAAGAACGGACAGUAGAGGAAAUGCUACUGUAUUGACGGUACCCUCAAAGGAAGCACCGGCUAACUCCGUGCCAGCAGCCGCGGUAAUACGGGGGGUGCUAGCGUUGUGCGGAAUCACUGGGCGAAAGCGCGUGUAGGCGGAUGAUCAAGUCAGAUGUGAAAUCCCACGGCUCCACCGUGGACGUGCAUUUGAAACUGAUCGUCUAGAGUAAGGUAGAGGGAAGGGGAAUUCCCGGUGUAGAGGUGAAAUUCGUAGAUAUCGGGAGGAAUACCGGUGGCGAAGGCGCCUUCCUGGACCAUUACUGACGCUCAGACGCGAAAGCGUGGGUAGCAAACAGGAUUAGAUACCCGUGUAGUC
rnacentral:rRNA from 1 species